ensembl:lncRNA
GGGCGCCGAGCAGCAGCCCCGGCAGGCCAGCUUUGGAGAAGCGUGUGUGUGGAAGUUCAGGGGCUAGAAGUUGGGUUCCCUGACUCUCCGUCCGCGCGCCUGCUGCAGAGUCUCUGUCUGGGGUCCAGCCCUCACCACACGGCGCCGUCAGAGGGGACAUUGAGGAGGGACGAGACGGUUAGCAUCUCCUCCGAUGCAGCGCUGCCUUCCUGAAUCAGGCAGACCCGGCCCGGGCCUUGCUGUGGAGGAACCAGGCGACGCCGGGACCCCGUGGGGCCUUCACCCAGGCUGGGCUGUCCCCCCAAGGUGCUGCCCACGGCGUCCCUGGACCUGAGCCGGAAGCUGGUGCGCUCCGUGGGGAUGCUCCCAACCCAGCCCGCUGACGUUUUCCAGCCGUCCUGGCAGCUGAAGAUUCAAUGUGUCACCUAGAAACCCAGCCCUUGGAAAAAAUCUCAACUGUGUUCCACGUGAGGGGCCAUGGGUGGCCAGGUUUUCAGGAUGCACGUGUUGACUUUUGACUUCCAAGUCCCAAAGCUCGCUUCAGUAGUUCCAGGCGGUUAUGACGGUGGCUCGCUGGCCUGAAUGAUCUUAAUCACGAAAGCACUUGUGUACAGCUUUAUAAUUCGACGUCUGUAUGCACUACACAGCGCUCCCCGCCACCGCCUGCUUCCCACCCUCACCGCGCCGCCCACGCGCGGUGGUCAGCUGGCCGGCCGGCGCGGCGCUGGCUGGUGGCCUCCCCGAGACACGCAGGCACCGAGACUUCCGUGGGGACCGAGGCGUCCGGGUCCUGCCCCUCACUCCUCCCUCUGCUCGUGGCCCUGACGGACCAGGCACAUGGAUUCACCUGUGGAAGCCACAGAACAUUUGUGGCCCAAGAAGAUUCAAGCGACAGCAAAAUGAAGACUAAUCAAGUCAGGGGACGCUUCCUUUUCCUACAACCAGACUCCAGUCCCCCAGAAUCUGUGUUUGUGAAAACUCCAGAGGAAGACAAACAACACUCUCUCCAGUGCUCCCCUCUUGCCUCGUCCCCCUAAAGUCUUUCCAUUUUCUUGCCGUGUCCCCCUGUUCCCUCUGUAGAAGCCAGCACAGUUUCUGCGGCCGGCGAGUGGGCAGGCAGGGGGGCUGACGGGGACAGGGGAAGGCACCUACCUGAGGCUUCCUUCUUGUGAAGAGGACUCGAGGCCUUCCGGCCAUCUGGGACCAGCUCCUCUGGACAAAGAUGGCGGGCCUGGGCUUCCUUUGGCUUGGUGCCGGGUGUAUACAAACACGGCAGGUUACCACGGGUCCCAGUUCAUCGGAUAUAUUCCUGGGGUGGGAGCAGCCUCGUUGGGCUUCCAGAAAACUCACCCAAGGAGGAAAAGCUCCUUCUGAGACAGAUGAGGCUGAGGAGAUGGGUUUUGUGCCUGUUUUUCUUGCGCCCAUUGUGUGUUUGCACAAGCCAAGCAAACCCCCUUGUGAAUCAUUUUGAUCCUCGCAAACUCUCGGCACAGCUCUCAAAAUUGCCCAAGGACCUUUCCAUCAGUUCAAAGAAAAAAUGUGUUGUUUUAGUCUAGCAACGUAUCUCUUUAUAGCCACAGAUUAUCACAGCAUGGAGGGAGCAUUGCACACCUGCAGGGAGGGGGCGGGGCGCCUGGUCGUAAAGGGCUUUUUUGGGUAGCGUAUUUUUCACUGAAUAUAGUUGAAAAUCACUUAUUUGGCUAUAGCCUUCUAUUCACGGGCCGACUCUAGAAGCAUGUAUUUUUUUUAAAGAUUGAACAAAAUUACCUUGCUGAGGAUUUGCAUGGGGUUGGUGUGGAGGCCACGGAGUGUGUGCUGGGGGAGUGGGUGCCCAGGGCUUCAACCUCUCUUCCUUUCAGGACCAAAUGUGUGCCGCUUGGUGGCCGCGGAGCUCCAUGAUGGCUGAGCUGCACCAGCCGAUGCUAUCUGUGAGCCUGUCCUGCGACCGCAAUGGCUCCUCCACGGCAGCAAGCUCGCUCUGAAGUCUCGAAGCUGUGUGGCGGCGGCCAUGGGGCCGUGGGGGAGGUGCCGGGGACAGGAGCCAGCAAUGUGUGAACGCAGGCCUCGGCAGCGAAGGACGUCCUGACUCUUGAGAGAAAAGGGAGAAGUUGCAAUGUCUGAAAAAAUGUUUGGUAACGUUGGCAAAUCUUUCUAAGAUUGUUUGAAGUUACAGUGGCACUUGAUCACAUUUUAAACACAGUAGAUCUCGACUUAAAAUGAGCCCAGGUAAGAACAACACUUUAGAGCAGCAGACUCAGGACGUGAGUAAAAUGCUGCCUUCUGGGGCAUCACCUGGUUGUUUCAGCCAGGAGUCGAGGAGAACUUCAUGAAGGUAGGAAUAAAGGAGGUUCAUCUGCAGUAGGGCGUCAACAGAGCGGCUGCAGACUCAGCUCCCCACGCGCUCUGCCAGCAGGGGCCACGUUUCCCCACGCACUGUGCCAGCGCAGGCCAUGACGCUUGCUGCUCACCGGGGCUGCUCGCGCCACCGGAGCUCUGGCGUCUCGCCGUGGUCAGGCUCGGUGGCAGCAGUGUGCCCACCUUCCUGAGGCAAUCCUAUUCAACUUGACUGAGAGUCUUUCCUGGAAGGAAACUUUGCUCCUUGCUCCUCAAAUCUAAUGCAGUAGAUUUUCGGAAGUUAGGCUCUAUAACAUCACUACGUACUCUGAUUUAGUGACUCCUGUGCCGCUGCCCCUGAGGGAGGUAGAAGGGUGGGUUCGGUGAGAGUCUGGUCACGGCAUUUUCAUCAGCAGAUCCACACACAACCUUGUUUCUUGCGUGUUUCUGUUCAGACACCUUCUUUAAUGCAUAGUGUGGAUUCAGCACCUUUGAGCUCACAGCCUGAACGACAGUCGUCUAGCACGUCUCCUUUUUCCUUGAGGUACAUCCCAGCCCUCUGGCCCUUAGGAAGACCGUACACACUUCAACACUCUGCUUGGGGCCAUUUUAAACAGUGACAUCACCAACAAAAAGCACAAAAAUGCAAAAACAAGGGCACUAGGUAGACUGUGAAACGGACACGUUUACAGCAUGAGAGCUGAACCAAGGAGGUGGAGCAUCAUCUUUCUCAACCUCACCUGAGACCACGUGCACCAGGAGACUCUGCGUUGUUACAGUUCUGCACACGUCCACGAAUGAGCCUGAAAACUCUGAGGACACUGAUUUUGGGGUUACAAAUGAAUUUUAUCGAGUAAGAGAAUUUGCAAAUAUGCAAUCCGUCAAUUAUGAGGAUCGACUAUAUAUUGAUGAAACCAACGUGCAUUUUUAAGCUCUCCUGAUUCUGGGUAAUGAUUAUUAUUUGGUAAUUUAAUUUUUGGUCUUAUGUAAUGUCAAAGCAAAGAUAAUUACCAUUUAAAAAAUUAACUGCAUUUAUACAGUGUUUUGUUAAUAAAGACAGAUGGUUUUGAAAA